rnacentral:rRNA from 1 species
UACAGAGGUCCCAAGCGUUGUUCGGAUUCACUGGGCGUAAAGGGUGCGUAGGCGGUCGCGCAAGUUUGACGUGAAAUCUCCGGGCUCAACCCGGAAAUUGCGUUGGAUACUGCACGGCUUGAGGAAUGGAAGGGAGACUGGAAUGCUCGGUGUAGCAGUGAAAUGCGUAGAUAUCGAGCGGAACACCAGUGGCGAAGGCGAGUCUCUGGACAUUUCCUGACGCUGAGGCACGAAAGCCAGGGGAGCAAACGGG